rnacentral:rRNA from 1 species
UGGCGGCAUGCCUUACACAUGCAAGUCGAACGGCAGCACGGAGCUUGCUCUGGUGGCGAGUGGCGAACGGGUGAGUAAUAUAUCGGAACGUACCCUAGAGUGGGGGAUAACGUAGCGAAAGUUACGCUAAUACCGCAUACGAUCUAAGGAUGAAAGUGGGGGAUCGCAAGACCUCAUGCUCGUGGAGCGGCCGAUAUCUGAUUAGCUAGUUGGUAGGGUAAAAGCCUACCAAGGCAUCGAUCAGUAGCUGGUCUGAGAGGACGACCAGCCACACUGGAACUGAGACACGGUCCAGACUCCUACGGGAGGCAGCAGUGGGGAAUUUUGGACAAUGGGCGAAAGCCUGAUCCAGCAAUGCCGCGUGAGUGAAGAAGGCCUUCGGGUUGUAAAGCUCUUUUGUCAGGGAAGAAACGGUGAGAGCUAAUAUCUCUUGCUAAUGACGGUACCUGAAGAAUAAGCACCGGCUAACUACGUGCCAGCAGCCGCGGUAAUACGUAGGGUGCAAGCGUUAAUCGGAAUUACUGGGCGUAAAGCGUGCGCAGGCGGUUUUGUAAGUCUGAUGUGAAAUCCCCGGGCUCAACCUGGGAAUUGCAUUGGAGACUGCAAGGCUAGAAUCUGGCAGAGGGGGGUAGAAUUCCACGUGUAGCAGUGAAAUGCGUAGAUAUGUGGAGGAACACCGAUGGCGAAGGCAGCCCCCUGGGUCAAGAUUGACGCUCAUGCACGAAAGCGUGGGGAGCAAACAGGAUUAGAUACCCUGGUAGUCCACGCCCUAAACGAUGUCUACUAGUUGUCGGGUCUUAAUUGACUUGGUAACGCAGCUAACGCGUGAAGUAGACCGCCUGGGGAGUACGGUCGCAAGAUUAAAACUCAAAGGAAUUGACGGGGACCCGCACAAGCGGUGGAUGAUG